UCUCACAGUUAUAGAAGUUGGACAAUCUAAGACCAAGACACUGGCAAAUUUAGUUCCUGGAAAGGAUGAUCCAUUUCCAGGUUAAUAGGUGGUCAUCUUCUUGCUAUAUUCUCACAUAGCAGAAAAGGAGCUCUAUAAGAGAUGAUUUGGGAAGCUGCCUUGGGCAUGCCGAGUCCUCCCAUCCAGACAUUGUAGAAUCCCAGGUCUUCAAGCCAUCCACAUGUAUCAUGUGUGCUUGCCAACAGGUCAGAUGCCUGUGGAACUCCGAGCACAGAUGCAGCGUGUCUAGCUGUAUCAUGCUGCUACUCUGCCUCCUCACAUGAUGGGCUGCUAUCAAACUAUGAGCCAGAGGAAACUCUCCCUUCGCUAAAGUGACCCGUAAGCUAUCCUGUCACAGUAACAUGGAAAUUCACUAAAGCUGAUGGACUGAGUUUGAGUCUGAAGGCUCCUGGUGGUCUGUGUUGUCACUAUGACACCUAGGGACAGCUCCUUCCUACUUGUCACUACUGGUAGUAAAUAUGAAAGACUUCAUGUGUGCAAGGGUGAUUACAACCUGGAGAGAGGGACAGGAUCAUCAAAUCCCUUGAGGCCAGGACGUGCUGAAGCCACCAUUCUCUGGUCGGGGAGCACCCAUCAGUGUCUUGUGGCGGAGGGGUAUACACAGUGCAAAGUGCAUGUGUUGAAUGUUCAGAACCAAGGCUGCAGUGAAGAUGUGAGACACAACACAGAAUUCUGCCGGGGAGAUAUAAUGAACUCUGAAGCACACACCAUCAUUCUCCUUCCUUGAGAGCUGACAGCCAGGAGGAGCUGAACACCCAGACUCCUAAAUAUACACCUCACGUUCCCACAUAAAACACUGAGUGU